UACGUAGGGGGCGAGCGUUAUCCGGAUUUACUGGGUGUAAAGGGAGCGUAGACGGCAUGGCAAGCCAGAUGUGAAAGCCCGGGGCUCAACCCCGGGACUGCAUUUGGAACUGUCAGGCUAGAGUGUCGGAGAGGAAAGCGGAAUUCCUAGUGUAGCGGUGAAAUGCGUAGAUAUUAGGAGGAACACCAGUGGCGAAGGCGGCUUUCUGGACGAUGACUGACGUUGAGGCUCGAAAGCGUGGGGAGCAAACAGG
rnacentral:rRNA from 1 species